AUUGAACGCUGGCGACAUGCCUUACACAUGCAAGUCGAACGGCAGCACGGGAGCAAUCCUGGUGGCGAGUGGCGAACGGGUGAGUAGUACAUCGGAACGUGCCUAGUAGUGGGGGAUAGCCCGGCGAAAGCCGGAUUAAUACCGCAUACGACCUGAGGGUGAAAGCGGGGGAUCGCAAGACCUCGCGCUAUCAGAGCGGCCGAGGCCAGAUUAGGUAGUUGGUGGGGUAAAAGCCUACCAAGCCGACGAUCUGUAGCUGGUCUGAGAGGACGACCAGCCACACUGGGACUGAGACACGGCCCAGACUCCUACGGGAGGCAGCAGUGGGGAAUUUUGGACAAUGGGCGCAAGCCUGAUCCAGCCAUGCCGCGUGCAGGAAGAAGGCCUUCGGGUUGUAAACUGCUUUUGUCAGGGAAGAAAAGUUCUGGGCUAAUACCCCGGAGCGAUGACGGUACCUGAAGAAUAAGCACCGGCUAACUACGUGCCAGCCGCCGCAGUAA
rnacentral:rRNA from 1 species